GACGAACGCUGGCGGCGUGCUUAACACAUGCAAGUCGAACGAUGAACCCGGAGCUUGCUCCGGCGGAUUAGUGGCGAACGGGUGAGUAACACGUGAGUAACCUGCCUUUGACUCUGGGAUAACUGCUAGAAAUGGUAGCUAAUACCGGAUACGACCCUCGGCGGCAUCGCCAGGGGGUGGUAAGAAUUUCGGUCAAGGAUGGACUCGCGGCCUAUCAGGUAGUUGGUGAGGUAACGGCUCACCAAGGCGACGACGGGUAGUCGGCCUGAGAGGGGGAACGGCCACACUGGGACUGAGACACGGCCCAGACUCCUACGGGAGGGAGCAGUGGGGAAUAUUGAACAAGGGGCGCAAGCCUGAUGCAGCAACGCCGCGUGAGGGAUGACGGCCUUCGGGUUGUAAACCUCUUUUAGUAGGGAAGAAGCGAAAGGGACGGUACCUGAAGAAAAAGCACCGGCUAACUACGUGCCAGCCGCCGCCGUAA
rnacentral:rRNA from 1 species